UACGUAGGGCGCAAGCGUUGUCCGGAAUUAUUGGGCGUAAAGAGCUCGUAGGCGGUUUGUCGCGUCUGCUGUGAAAACCUAAGGCUCAACCUUGGGCUUGCAGUGGGUACGGGCAGACUAGAGUGCGGUAGGGGUGACUGGAAUUCCUGGUGUAGCGGUGGAAUGCGCAGAUAUCAGGAGGAACACCGGUGGCGAAGGCGGGUCUCUGGGCCAUUACUGACGCUGAGGAGCGAAAGCGUGGGGAGCAAACAGG
rnacentral:rRNA from 1 species